UAUGUGAUCGUCUCUCGCAUAUCAAUAAGCGGAGGAAAAGAAACUAACAAGGAUUCCCCUAGUAACGGCGAGUGAAGCGGGAAGAGCUCAAAUUUGAAAUCUUAAAGGGUUUCCCUUUACGAAUUGUAGUUUAAAGAAGUGUUUUCUGUUGAGGUUUUGGUAGAAGUUCUUUGGAAUAGGACAUCAUAGAGGGUGAGAAUCCCGUAUUUGACCUUUACUUUCAACUUUGUGAUACACUUUCAAAGAGUCGGAUUGUUUGGGAAUGCAGUCCAAAAUGGGUGGUAAAUUUCAUCUAAAGCUAAAUAUUGGCGAGAGACCGAUAGCGAACAAGUACCGUGAGGGAAAGAUGAAAAGAACUUUGAAAAGAGAGUUAAACAGUACGUGAAAUUGUCAAAAGGGAAGCGCUUGACACCAGUGUUGUUUUUCUGAAAAUCAAUUAAAGAACUGUUUAUGCUAAGUUGUUUAGACUUUAUCAGCUAACUGUUUAGUUUUGAGCUUUUCUUUAAUGCACUUUUCAGUUAACAAGUCAACAUCAAUUUCUAUUGCUGUAAAAAAGCUUGAGGAAGGUGGCUUGAGAUUCGUCUCAAGUGUUUAUAGCCUCUCGCCUAUGCAGUCGGAGAGAUUGAGGCCUGCAGCGUAGGUCCUUCGGGGCUAAAUGCAUUUGUGCUAAGUUAUAGCAUUUUAUAGACAACUUGUUGACUAUGAUUUGUCUUGUAGCUUACUCGCUUAUGUUAUUUUACCUACGCUUAGGAUGUUGAGUAGCGACAUACGCAC
rnacentral:rRNA from 1 species